GAAUGAUCUCUUGGGUAACGAUGUUACUGGUUCCAUAGACUCUGAUAUAGUCUGCUUUCCAAGAUUCCAUGAAACGAGAUCACACACCAUUUGUAUACACUACCAGUACCAGGCACAACUAUUUGAGCCAUUAUCCGACAUCUCCCCCCACUGUAUACCCUCACAUGGCUUCAGCCUCAGACACUGUCCCCGUGAGUCCGUGACUAUGCAUGAUGUUUCGUACAAUCACGUGGGACCGGUUGAAUCAACUGGUUUUAGGAUAAACCAGCAACAUCCCCUAGACGAAUUUGUACCUGCAGCGACUCUUAGACUGACUAUAUAGCAGUUCCCGCUGAUGAAGCUGCAGUGUUUUGGGAAGGGGAUUUCUAGGACGCUGUUAAUCAUGUUGAUCAUCGUCAAGACAUGCGGUUGGACAUAGAGGACAUGGCUUAUGAGGAGUUUCUUGCUUUGAGCGACCAUAUUGGAACUGUCAAGACUGGCUGUUACACAUAUUCUUCUGAAAAGGAGAACCUCUUGUCGACCAGAAUCAACCUGGAAGAAGCUCCAUCAACCAAUCUGGAAACAGAUUCUUGCAACCUAGUAGAAGUUAAUGGUUUUUUUUGGACAUGCUUUUAUAUAAUGGUUUCAUAAGAGAAACAGAGUAAACCUGUAACUAGUGGCUCAGUGACUAAGAAAACUGUACAGCUUCUUGGUUCCUUGUACAUUUGAUUUGGUACUCUGAAGUUUAGUUUUGCAUUCAUCUAAAGCACCCUUUUAUGUUCAUAGAUUGACUAAUAUGAUCAUGUAAACAU